rnacentral:rRNA from 1 species
AGUGAACGCUGGCGGUAGGCCUAACACAUGCAAGUCGAACGGCAGCACAGUAAGAGCUUGCUCUUACGGGUGGCGAGUGGCGGACGGGUGAGGAAUACAUCGGAAUCUACUUUUUCGUGGGGGAUAACGUAGGGAAACUUACGCUAAUACCGCAUACGACCUACGGGUGAAAGCAGGGGAUCUUCGGACCUUGCGCGAUUGAAUGAGCCGAUGUCGGAUUAGCUAGUUGGCGGGGUAAAGGCCCACCAAGGCGACGAUCCGUAGCUGGUCUGAGAGGAUGAUCAGCCACACUGGAACUGAGACACGGUCCAGACUCCUACGGGAGGCAGCAGUGGGGAAUAUUGGACAAUGGGCGCAAGCCUGAUCCAGCCAUACCGCGUGGGUGAAGAAGGCCUUCGGGUUGUAAAGCCCUUUUGUUGGGAAAGAAAAGCAGCAGGUUAAUACCCCGCUGUUCUGACGGUACCCAAAGAAUAAGCACCGGCUCACUUCGU